CCUUACCCGCUUCAUUUCAGAUUCUAUCUUUUCAUAACCCUUACCUUUAUCUCAUCCUCAUCUCACCUUCUGUAGAAACACUAACCGUGACCCCAGAUUUCUCGACAUCGCCGCCGCUCCCAUUGGGAUAGGAGCCUCCGCCUCCACACCCUCUCCUCCUCUGCCUCCGCAGCGCCACGAGAGGCCGUCGAAGAGCUCCGCCUCCACAUCCUCUCCUCCUCCGCCUCUGCGGCGCCACGAGAGGCCGUUGAAGAGGGCGAAGAAACGAAGGGAGUGGGUAGAGAAGAAGAAGCGGAAAAAGAAAGAGGUGAGGGGUAGGUCUCAGAAGGGGCGAGGGAAGGGAACAAAGGGAUGAUGCUUCUACAGUCUCUGAAUGUGACCCCCUCUACUGGCCGCACCUCCUCUACCCGUAGCUUGGGUCGAGGACACUCGGCGGUCUCCCGCUGAACACUCGCAUUGGCAUGGUUUGCGUGGAUUGGCUCGAUGCAACUGUACAACCUCAUAAAGGACGUCGCGACGGCGGAGAUCUUGAAGGUGCAAAACUGGCAGUGGAUCAGAUACAGAGCCGACAUAGGAUAGAAGUUGUUCAUGACCAAAGAUGAUCUUGAGAUAGUCUGGACUCUGGAGCAGGAAUGGGCUCUAGCAGAGGAUUCUUGAGCUCAACACACUUGCUAUUUCUAUUCACCGUUACUGAUCUCUUGAUGCUCUUGGUGUUCGAUGAAACGGCUUCUUUCAGUGCUGUUAUUAAGUCUCUACAAAAGUUUUGAAGUCAUCCAUUUUUGCUCCAAAGAGGAUUUUAUCCCGAACAUUCCAAGUUUGAGGGAGGGGGCUAAUUCAGAAGCGUUUGCUUGGCGGGGCUCCUCUUAAAUUGAUGCUGGUUAUCUUGAACUCUAGCAGCUACUUCUAGGAAAGCUUUCAUAAUUUUUCGUUACUUGCAGUUCAUAUUGUUAUUUUUAUUAACGGCAAGAUAAUAUUUUAAGCACUCAAAAUACAUACUUAAAUAUGUCAUUCUCUACUCAUUUUUGAGACCAUAUUCCAUUUCUUUUUUUUCUCAUAAAUAAUUAUUUCUUUUC